rnacentral:rRNA from 1 species
CUGCAUACGAUGUUAGCACGUGCAAAUCACUUAAAACGUGUACUGAGUGGACCCCGUCUGUCAGGUGAGGAGCCACCUCCUACCUAGGUGCGUCGACGUUGGAGACGAGACGAGAGGAGGGUAGAGGGAUAUUUAUACCUCCCGUACAUACGUAACGAGUAUAGGGGGUAGGUAGGUUUCUUCGUCGUCGUCGAUGAACAAGUAGAGUAUAGUAGGUCCGAUCAAUCAAUGGUUCAAUUGAUCGGAUGAAUCGGCUAGACAUUGUGCAGUGUGAAGCGAUCGGUCGGUGGUAAUUUAGUCUUUGGCUACCGACGACGCGUACGGAAGAAGAAGAAGAGGAGCCAGCUUGGCCACGAGGAAAGCCAAAGUGGCCAUCGACCUUUACCACCGGCCUCGCCGGCGUUGGUACCGAAGAAGGCGGGAAGCUGCCACUAUACAGGGCCCGCCCUCGGACGCAGGGUACCCGACAGGCUACUAAAACUGAAGGUCCACGAAGCCGAACGGCCAGGCUCAUGAAUCCUAGCGGCACGAGGUGCGUCCCCUGCCGCACUCGCAGCGGGUUAUCUUCAACGUCGUUUAUCAAAAGGGCGACAUAAUGAAAACUUGUCGCUUUCAUGAAGUUGUCUGUUUACAUAUAAGGGUCUCAAUGUUGUGCGGGUCAAAAGGGAGGUCAAAACAAGGACGUAAAGAAAAGAGAAGAGAGAUUGGAUCGUCACACAGAUGUUGAAACAUUACAAGCCGACAUUAAAGUAAACCGUAUUUUUGAUUUCUUUUGUUUUUUUUUGAUCCACAGUACUUUUUUUAUAAUGUUAUUCGUAACAAGCUUUAAUACAUGAUUCAAGUUUUAAUAUAUGAUACGUCGUAAAUGG